GGCAAGUUAUUAUAAGAAAACACUUUCCAAGGUUUGAUGCUACUGUCUCCCUCUGCCUCCUUCUCUCUCAUACCGAUCCCUGUGAAACCCCUCUUUCCGUUUCAGCGCUGAAUCAACACAACUACCCGCAACCAGAAUUCGGGUCGGGCAGUCGGGCUCCACCGCCUCGCUUGGUAUCCAUUGAUUGCACUAGUCUGUUGAGGCUUCUCUGCUCAGAUGUCGAAUAAUCCGCAUUUCCCGGGUUUACAGCCUCUUCGGCCUCCUACUGGUCCAGUGGAUUCCCAGCGCAAUUUUGGUCCACCGAUGCCUGUUCAAUUCCGCACUGUUGUUCCUGCUCAACAGCCGCCGCAAUUCGUUCCCAUGCCUUCUCAACAUUAUCAACCUCUUGGUCCCGGUGUUCCCAUGAUGAAUGUUGGAAUGCAUCCUCAGAAUCCACAACCCCAAUUUUCUCAACCAAUUCAACCGUUACCCCCAAGACCUAGUCAGCAGCUACCACUCCCGUCACAGCCAAUUCCAUUGCCAGUUGCUCGGCCAAACAUGCAAAUGUCAUCUGAAUCAAUGAUACCUCUGCCUGAUUCUCAAGCCCCAAAUGGCUACGCACCAGGUUUAGGUGGCCCCGGAAUGCCACUCUCCUCAUCUUAUACGUUUGCGCCAUCUUCUUAUGGUCAAGUGCAAACUAAUUUUAGUUCUGCCAGCCAAUACCAAACAAUUCCUCAAAUCCAAGCUCAUACUGGCACUUCAUCCCAGAGCAUUACCUCUGGCACAAUCCUCCAGAGCAGUGGCGAACAACCUUCAGCUACCAUUAACCAGCCAAAACUUGCAAAAGUUGGCUCUUCAGAUUGGAUUGAGCAUACUUCUGCCACUGGAAGAAAAUUUUACUAUAAUAAAAGGACUAAGUCAUCCAGCUGGGAGAAGCCUUUUGAAUUAAUGACACCUAUUGAGAGGGUAGAUGCAUCAACAAACUGGAAGGAGUUUACUAGUCCUGAUGGAAGAAAGUAUUACUACAACAAGGUCACUAAAGAAUCAAAGUGGUUGAUUCCUGAGGAACUGAAGUUGGCCCGUGAGCAAGGUGAAAAGGCAAUUGUCAAUGGAACACGCCCUGAAGCUUUACUGAAUUCUCAUACUCAACCCUCUGCAACUCCUUCUGUGACUGAAGCUACACCAAUUGCAGAGAAUUCAUCUCUAACUGGUCAAGGCGAACCAUCUAGUCCUGUCUCAGUUGCUCCGGUUGUUACUACACCUGCAAGUAAUCUGCAAUCUGAGUUGACUUCUGGAUCAUCUGCCUCUCCUUCUGCAAUCACUGUAUCUGGAACAAAAGUUGAUGAACUUGAUGCACCUGUAAAUACUGUCACUCCAUCAGAUGCUAGUGCUGGAAGUGAUAGAGCUUUUGAUACUGAAAUUAAUACUGCUAUGCCUACAACAGCAAUGAAUGAUGCCAACAAUAUUUCAGCUCAAGAUACUGUGGGUGGAGUUUCAGCAGAAGACAAAGAAGAUGGAAAAAAUGAUUCAAUUGGAGAGAAAGCUAAUGGUACGACCUCAGAAGCAAAGGCAGCUGAGCCAGAACCCUUAGUCUAUGCGAAUAAGAUGGAAGCUAAAGAUGCAUUCAAAGCGCUCUUGGAGUCUGUUAAUGUUGGAUCUGACUGGACUUGGGAUCGGGCUAUGCGAUUGAUAAUUAAUGACAAAAGGUAUGGUGCGUUAAAAACCCUUGGAGACAGGAAGCAAGCUUUCAAUGAGUACUUAAAUCAGAGAAAAAAACAGGAAGCGGAAGAAAAGCGUAUGAAACAGAAAAAAGCGCGGGAGGAUUUUAAAAUAAUGUUAGAAGAAUCCACAGAAUUGACUUCAUCCACCAGAUGGAGCAAAGCAAUUGCUAUAUUUGAAAAUGAUGAACGUUUCAAGGCUGUUGAACGUGACAGAGAUCGCAAGGAUAUGUUUGAUAGCUUCCUGGAAGAACUUAUAAUCAAGGAUCGAACAAGGGUACAGGAGGAACGAAAACGGAGUAUAACGGAAUACAGGAAGUUUUUAGAAUCUUGUGACUUUAUUAAGGCUAGUACACAGUGGCGUAAAGUUCAAGACCGCUUAGAGGCUGAUGAAAGAUGUUCUCGUCUCGAGAAAAUUGAUCGUUUGGAAAUAUUCCAAGAUUAUUUGCGUGAUCUAGAGAAGGAAGAGGAAGAGCAGAAGAAGAUACAGAAAGAGGAACUGAGAAAGGCAGAACGUAAAAACCGGGAGGAUUUCCGCAAAUCGAUGGAAGAGCAUAUUGCUUCAGGCAUUCUUACAGCAAAAACUCAAUGGCGUGAUUAUUAUUUAAAGGUGAAAGAUCUACAUGCUUAUCAAGCUGUGGCAUCAAACACUUCAGGGUCAACUCCAAAAGACUUAUUUGAAGAUGUUGCUGAAGAACUAGAGAAACAAUAUCAUGAGGAAAAGAGUCGAGUAAAAGAUGCAUUGAAGUUGGCAAAGAUCACUUUGUUGUCAACUUGGACUUUUGAAGACUUCCAAUCAGCUUUAUCAAAAGACAUUAGUUCUCCGCCUAAAUCUGAGUUCAACUUAAAGCUAGUGUUUGAUGAGCUACAAGAACGGGCUAGGGAGAAGGAGGAGAAGGAAGCUAAGAAGCGUAAACGUCUUGCAGAUGAUUUUUUUCACAUACUAUAUUCUACCAAGGACAUUACUGCGUCUUCAAAGUGGGAGGACUCUAGACCACUUGUUGAAGAUAGCCAAGAGUUCAGAUCUAUUGGAGAUGAGAGCCUUUGCAAGGACAUAUUUGAGGAGUACAUUACGAAACUGAAAGAAGAGGCAAAAGAGAUUGACCGGAAACGGAAAGAGGAAAGGGCAAAGAAGGAUAAAGAUAGGGAGGAAAGAGAAAGGAAAAAAUCGAAGCACAGAAAAGAAAAAGAGGGAGGACGUGAACGUGGGAAAGAGGAGACACAUAGGAAGGAUAAAACUGACAGCGACAGUUUGGAUGCAACUGAAACCCAACCCUCCAAUGAAAACAAAAGGUCCGGAGGUGAUAAUAGAAAACAACGGAAGCAGCAUCAAAGUCCUGAGGAUACUUCUCACGAAGUGGAUAAAGAGAGGACUAAAAAAUCUCAUGGUCAUAGUAGCGACCGCAAGAAAUCAAGACGUCAUGCAUCUGGUCAUGAAUCAGAUGAAGGCCGGCACAAAAGGCGCAGGAGAGACCACCGCAGCGAUUCUCAUAGAGAGGGUGAUUAUGGAGAUCUCGAAGAUGGGGAAUUUGGCGAUGUCGCAGAUAGAUGGUAAUCAUGUUAUUCGUUCUAAUGGGACACUGGUACAAAUUCCAUGAAUGAAUGAGAGCGUAGGAGUCGAGCUUCUUUUAGUCAUUGGGUUUGUAAGGGACGAGGUGAGGUACUCAGUGGGGGAUAUUCUUGUUAGUAAAGACAUAACAAAGGCUGUGAGAGGAGGAGGCGCAUAGGUUCAUGAUGGAGAAAGAUGCUAUCAUUGCAAUAAAAGGAAAUGAAAUAAGAAAGGACAAAGUGGGAGAGAGGCCAGUUUUCUUGAGGAAGUGUAUUCAUGGCAAUUGGUAUGCUGAGAGAUCACUUCUAUUAGGAACCGAUCCAACCAAUGAACCAACCUGUGUGCACCCCUACCACAAGACAUGGCAAGUAUUAUUUCAUGAGUAACUUGAGAAGUCAUGGUAAUCAAUUUUCCACUAGAGUUGUUCACGCAUGGUGAUGCUUUCAUGAUUGUUUUGUCAGGAUUAUUAAGUUGAAGACACGGCCAUUAUGCAAACUUAAUCUUCAAAUACAAAAUAGGUUAAUUAAGUAUUAUUACACAGAAAUGCAUCACACGCAUAUUAAAAGUUCUCUAGUUCAAUACCUGGGCCCAAUUCGUAACACUGUCUCAUUUUGCAUUUAGACCUACUUUGGUUUUGUGGUGUUAAUAGGCUAACACAUUUUAAAUACAGAUUUUAUUGUAAUAAUUAUAUUGCUCAAUUCCUCCUUUCAAAAAAAAAUUAUAUUGCUCAAUUAAUGAGGGCUACUAGUUUUCAAAAUGUGUACGCACUUGUAGCAAUGUGAAUCACAAGUCACAACUUUGAUCGAAUCAAAGACAUAAAUUUCAAAUACUAGUAUUAUACCAAGCAUUCAGUCAGGCCAGUUUACUAUCAAUCGUUGUCUAAUUAAAUACAUUUUCUAAAGUCUUCUUAAAAUACAAAACCGUUUUUGUUAAUAUUUUUGGUUUGCACCUAUGUAUCUCACAACAAGUAUAAGAUUAGUUCCCUUGAGACUCUAAGAUCAAAUUAAGUGAAUAAGUCUCUCUUAAAAAAUCAUUUCUCAUACACACCGUUUAGAGAU